GGGCCAAUGCUCAGUCUUAGAGCAUCUGCUUUGCAUGCAGAAAGUCCCAAGUUCAAUUCCUGGCAUCUCCA
rnacentral:tRNA from 1 species